GGCCUACCAAGUCUACGAUCUAUAGCUGGUUUGAGAGGAUGAUCAGCAACACUGGGACUGAGACACGGCCCAGACUCCUACGGGAGGCAGCAGUGGGGAAUCUUAGACAAUGGGCGCAAGCCUGAUCUAGCCAUGCCGCGUGAGUGAUGAAGGCCUUAGGGUCGUAAAGCUCUUUCGCCAGAGAUGAUAAUGACAGUAUCUGGUAAAGAAACCCCGGCUAACUCCGUGCCAGCAGCCGCGGUAAUACGGAGGGGGUUAGCGUUGUUCGGAAUUACUGGGCGUAAAGCGCACGUAGGCGGAUCAGUCAGUUAGAGGUGAAAUCCCAGGGGCUCAACCCUGGGAACUGCCUUUAAUACUGCUGGUCUUGAGUUCGAGAGAGGUGAGUGGAAUUCCGAGUGUAGAGGUGAAAUUCGUAG
rnacentral:rRNA from 1 species